GCCGGGUGUGGUGGCUCAUGCCUGUAAUCCCAGCACUUUUGGGAGGCUGAGGCGGGAGGAUCACCUGAGGUCAGGAGUUCAAGACCAGCCUGACCAACAUGGUGAAACCCCAUCUCUA
rnacentral:SRP_RNA from 1 species